rfam:Ixodes scapularis strain Wikel colony gcontig_1107729199332, whole genome shotgun sequence.
GCCGGGAUGGUCUAUUUGGUUAAAACGUCGCCCUGGACAGGCGAAGGUUGCAGGUUCAAUCCCCGCUCCUGGCC